GACGAACGCUGGCGGCGUGCUUAACACAUGCAAGUCGAACGGAAAGGCCCUGCGUUUGUGGGGUGCUCGAGUGGCGAACGGGUGAGUAACACGUGAGGAACCUGCCCUUGACUGUGGGAUAACUUCAGGAAACUGGGGCGAAUACCGGAUAGGAGCUCCUGCUGCAUGGUGGGGGUUGGAAAGUUUCGGCGGUUGGGGAUGGACUCGCGGGUUAUCAGCUUGUUGGUGGGGUAGGGGCUGACCAAGGCUUUGACGGGUAGCCGGCCUGAGAGGGUGACCGGCCACAUUGGGCCUGCGAUACGGCGCAGAAUCGUACGGGAGGCAGCAGUGGGGAAUAUUGCGCAGUGGGCCGAAGCCUGAUGCAGCGGCGCCGCGUGCGUGAUGACGGCCUUCGGGUUGUGAACCGCUUUCGCCUGUGACGAAGCGUGCGUGACGGUAAUGGGUAAAGAAGCACCGGCUAACUACGUG
rnacentral:rRNA from 1 species